rnacentral:rRNA from 1 species
ACGGAAGGCAGCAGUGAGGAAUAUUGGUCAAUGGAGGCAACUCUGAACCAGCCAUCUCGCGUGAAGGAAUACGGCCCUACGGGUCUUAAACUUCUUUUAUAGGGGGAUAAAGUGAGGCAUGCAUGCCUUUUUGUAGGUACCCUAUGAAUAAGCAUCGGCUAACUCCGUGCCAGCAGCCGCGGUAAUACGGAGGAUGCGAGCGUUAUCCGGAUUUAUUGGGUUUAAAGGGUGCGCAGGCGGCACGUUAAGUCAGCGGUGAAAUGCAGGGGCUCAACCCCGGCACUGCCGUUGAAACUGGCGAGCUCGAGUACGGAUGAAGUCGGCGGAAUGUGAUGUGUAGCGGUGAAAUGCUUAGAUAUCACGAAGAACUCCGAUUGCGAAGGCAGCUGACGGUAGUGUUACUGACGCUCAUGCUCGAAAGUGUGGGUAUCGAACAGGAUUAGAUACCCUGGUA